rnacentral:rRNA from 1 species
CGGAGGGGCUAGCGUUGUUCGGAAUUACUGGGCGUAAAGCGCACGUAGGCGGCUUUGUAAGUUAGAGGUGAAAGCCCGGGGCUCAACUCCGGAACUGCCUUUAAGACUGCAUCGCUUGAAUCAUGGAGAGGUUAGUGGAAUUCCGAGUGUAGAGGUGAAAUUCGUAGAUAUUCGGAAGAACACCAGUGGCGAAGGCGACUAACUGGACAUGUAUUGACGCUGAGGUGCGAAAGCGUGGGGAGCAAACAGGAUU